rnacentral:rRNA from 1 species
UAGUCCACACCGUAAACGAUGAGAGCUAGUUGUCUGCAAGCAUGCUUGUAGGUGACGCAGCUAACGCAUUAAGCUCUCCGCCUGGGGAGUACGGUCGCAAGAUUAAAACUCAAAGAAAUUGACGGGGGCCCGCACAAGCGGUGGAGCAUGUGGUUUAAUUCGAAGCAACGCGCAGAACCUUACCUACCCUUGACAUGCCGGUCGCGAUUUCCAGAGAUGGAUUUCUUCAAUUCGGUUGGACCGUGCACAGGUGCUGCAUGGCCGUCGUCAGCUCGUGUCGUGAGAUGUUGGGUUAAGUCCCGCAACGAGCGCAACCCUCACUUUUAGUUGCCAGCAUUUAGUUGGGCACUCUAGAAGAACUGCCGGUGCUAAGCCGGAGGAAGGUGGGGAUGACGUCAGGUCCUCAUGGCCCUUACGGCCAGGGCCACACACGUACUACAAUGGCAAAGACAAAGGGUAGCAAUAUCGCGAGAUGGAGCCAAUCCCAAAAAC